rnacentral:lncRNA from 1 species
CCCUAGGCCGAGCGCUUUACCACUUAAGGCAGUGGUGGCGUGGUAUUCCACGAGAAAAGGUUUUCAAUUUGUGGCGCACGUUAGUGUGAUGGGCUCACAGUAAUCAGCUCAAGGUUUAGCCAAUGGCUCGCCGGCGGCGAGGAGGCUCCCCUGGUCGCUUCGCUGCACUAGUAUUUUGCUGCCGGAGUGGCCGGACUUUGCCCCCACAAUUUCUUAAAUCCAAUCCUCAGCUGGCGGAAACUUGCCGACUUUCCUCCUGCUGGGGCAACCUUGUUCAUCGAUUCAGCUGUAAAGAUUCAUUCUUUGCGUGGUUAAUGAAUAGCUUUCGAUUGAACAGCAGGUGUUAAAAUAAAAUGUCUCAACCAUCACUUCAGUUGUAUGUUAUAUUAUAGGCUCUUGGUGAGUUUGCUUUGAUCUGCAGAUUGUUCAUGGAAAUGAAAGAACAACACUGUUACUGGAUUCUGGUGAUCCUAAGAAGGUGAAGAAACCAGCUUUUUGGUUUGUUUGUUGAUUAUGGUGAUUGAAUUGAAACACCUGGUCAAGUGUGAAACUGAAAUUCAUGGCAAAAGCAGUCACAUUGGCCAUGGAAUCAAAAUAUCUGAUCCUUUGUCUGGAUUGUGCAGAAACCAGGAUCAUGGAAUGGAAGCUGUCAAGUUGAUCAUCAUCCCCAGUAAUGACAUAUGGGAGAAGAUGAAACUAAGACUGCAAAUGCUUGAACUGCAAUUGAUUGCUAGCUGCGAACAUAGCUUAUUAGUAAUAACCACUUAUAGACUAGUUCCUCUGUAUCUUUAAACUGUCUGGUGAAUGCUGAGCUUUAAACCUAUGGCGGGGUCCCCUUCUUGCUGAUGCUUAGUUGAACGAUGGCUGGGGAUUCACCAUAACCGAUUGUGAAUGGAAUUCCCAAAUUUUAUGUUUACAGCUUUAGUUUGAUCCUUUGUCUAGGUUGUGCAG